CUUGUUAAGACUAGAGAUCUUCUAGGCUUGGCUCAGAAAGGGUGGAAAGCUGUUGCCAGCAGCCUGUUGUUGGUUUUGGGGGGUUUCAGCUCAGCCUCUGGUCACAAAACAAAGUACACCACAAUUAACACUAAUUGGUACCUUGAUGUUUUGGCUGGGGAGAAUGAACUCCCUGGAGGCAGUCACUCCAGGUCAGAGGAGGAAGCCCAUGGGGAUGUCGCAUGGCUCACAGGACCUUCAUGGCAAUGGGAAAUCUGGAAUCAAACCCAGUUCACGCUGCAUGAGGACUACCUGCUUUGUAUGUGGUGUUUUUCCCUGGGUGGCCAAAUUUCUUCAAGGAGUGAACGCAUGCAGACAUGCCCAUGUGCACACGGUGAGCCUUGAAGCAAUUUGCUCACUUCCCUUCAAUCAAAACCUUCUGCUCUCGCAUUUUCUUUUCUCUUUGGUGACUGAAGCGAAGCUUCAUGCACCUUCACGUGGGAGCUAAGUGGGUCAGCGGGCUGCUUUGUUUGCGCAGCUCUCACGUGGAAAAAGCCCACUGCAAAAUGCUGAGGCUUGGCAGGAAAGUGCCAAUUAAAGAUAGCGGUGCAGGAGCAUAUUGUCUGAGUCGAGAGUGCUUGAAUCUGGGACUGUGACAACUGUCAUGUGCAAAGGAAAGAAUGAAGAAUUCUCAAGCUCAAUGUUGACCUGAAGUAGCUGGUGCUUUCCCUGUUUCAAGUGUUUGUUCUCACACAGGAUGGACAAAGAGAUUGUUCCCUGUUUCACAGGUAGGGUAAGUGAGGGGUAGAGGAGGUGAGUCCAUGCCACAGUGGGAUUGACGGCUCUCAGAAGGCAGGUACUCAGGCUUCAUCCGUGCUGUGAACAGCCCAUGCUCUUUAUCUUUUUGCCAGCAGCACUCGGGCCUUCUCCUUAGCCUUGCACAAGUCUGUUCAGGUGAUGUGUGCAGGAGAUCUAAGUGCCAGGAGAUGGCAAAGGGAGUGACAUCAAGUUGAGUAAAGUUGUUCUCCCCCUUAGCCAUGCAAGCAGUCAUGAAGGAAACACAGCUAAGUCUGCAUGGUGGUGUGUGCAACUAACUGUAGGGAAGCAAUCCAGGGACUGCCAGGCUAUGACGCUGCUAUCCUCUGCUGUCCUGGGCAGCUACAUCAUCAUCUUGUCAUUCAUAUAUGAAUGCAUUUCUCCUCGGAGCAUUUGGCCCUCAGAUUCCCAAGCAGACAUUGUGCAAGAGGGCCCUGGGGAAGGGAGAAGAGCAGGUCACUCAGGUAGGGUUGGUGUUUCUGCUGAAAGAGAGCCUCUCUUCCUCCCAGUCCAUCCCUCUGCUUCCCACUAGUUUUGUUUUAUUCAUCUGUUUUUGUCUGAAAUACCAGGGUUGCCAAAUGAAAGCUAGAAUAUCUAUACAUCACUUUAUUGUAAAAAAAGCUUUCUGGCUUUACUUUGCCCUUUCUUGGAGCUUUCUGUGCCCUCAGUGAUGUCUGUAAGCUGAUCCCCUGUUUCCUCUUGCAAAUGGACUGUGCUUUAUUUUGCACAUGUAUAGGUACACACCUCCAGACCUUUUCAGCAAGAGAGAACAGUGUACUUUGCAGGUGGACUGAUGAGAGAGAUACGUGCUGCUUCCCCAGGAACAGUAUCCUCGUGGGAGACAGAUGUUCCUAUCUCUCUGGUGCACUAGUCAGUCUGUGUUGGAGAUCCACGUGCAAGGCAGGUAAGUAAAUGCAGAUCUUUCAGAAGUGAGAGCACAGUAAGAAGCACCUUUAUUUAUAGAGUCCUUUCUGCACCCCAGGACUGGUUAGAAAUGGCACCAUCAUUACCUAACAAUGGCUUUGGAGAAGCUGAGAUAUCCAUGCAGACUGCAUUCCACAUGGAAACUUUGAUCUGGUUGCCCCUGGGGUACCUUGACCUGCCUUCAAUGGUGGGCUUCCACUGAGAACUGUCACAGGCAGUGUAUGCAGAGGUCUGCCAUAGAUGGUGCUAGAACUAAUGCAGAUUGAUGUCCCUGUGAAAGCUGAUGGACUGCACUGUAUGACCAAGAGCCUCCGCUGAGGUGUUGCGAGACUUUUAAAAAUAAAAUAUCCAUGGAAAGGCAGUGUUUUGUUAAAGAAAGCAGGAUGAACUAAGUGUGCAAUAUAGUGGGUGAUACAGAGCAACACUAUAUACAGUAGCAAUUAAUUUUAAGAAACCUAAAGGGCAAGGAUCAGAAGAGUGCCUUCACUGCCUACUUUUAAGUACUUAAAACCCAAGCCCAUUGCAUCUUUUGGUAUUUCUUCAUGAAGCUUUAUACUCUUGGUGACCUUCAAGUCACCAGAAGUAAGAAUCUAUGAAAAAAAAGGGCAAAUGAUUAUAUCAGAAGGAAGUAUUGAGAGAUUUCCAAGGGCCUCUUUUUUUGUAACACUGAAGAGAAUGAAUUCACAGCAAAUGUGUAAUGCAUGGUUACUGGUUUCUUACUAAAGCUAAAUAAUAUUGCUUAUCCUAAUUCAACUAACUUAGGACUAUUUGUUCCAUUUUUAUCUCAUUUUCUUGCUCCAAAUGGAAUGUGACGGUAUUUUAGGUAGCAGAGAGAGAACUAUCUAGACUAUCUGAGCAAACUUUUAUUGUAAUCCUAAUAGAUUCAGCUGAAGUGGGGUAACUGGUGCUUUAUUAAUGCACUGAUGAUCCUACUUAGUCAUCAGCUGCUGUUGGGAGACUGCAAAACGAGAGAAGGGCGAAUGACUGGCGUCCUGGUUGCAGAACUGCCCAGCUUGGGAGGGAGAGCACUCUGCACAGGGGCUGCCCCUCCUCUGAGCACACAGGGAUAGUAAUGUGGGGAUGGGAAAGCCAGACCAGGUGGAGGUGAGCUGUAGUGUCUCUGCUGUGGGUAAUA